rnacentral:lncRNA from 1 species
CCUUUCUUAUUUGCACUUUUCAAAUUCACUAAAAUAGAUAAUGUUACAAAUGUCGUAAGAAAGCUAUUAACUAUACUCCGCAGGAAUUUUAAAGGUUGAAUUUCUAUGAUUCCGUGCCUGACCUUUUGUGGUUGAGAGGAGGAACAGAGUGGCUGUCACAGAUUUGGCUCUUCUGUCUGUCACAUGGAUUGAAAGCGGAGCCUCCGGAAUUGGAGACUGCUGGGAGGAUUGG